rnacentral:rRNA from 1 species
GGUUAAGCGACUAAGCGUACACGGUGGAUGCCCUGGCAGUCAGAGGCGAUGAAGGACGUGCUAAUCUGCGAUAAGCGUCGGUAAGGUGAUAUGAACCGUUAUAACCGGCGAUUUCCGAAUGGGGAAACCCAGUGUGUUUCGACACACUAUCAUUAACUGAAUCCAUAGGUUAAUGAGGCGAACCGGGGGAACUGAAACAUCUAAGUACCCCGAGGAAAAGAAAUCAACCGAGAUUCCCCCAGUAGCGGCGAGCGAACGGGGAGCAGCCCAGAGCCUGAAUCAGUGUGUGUGUUAGUGGAAGCGUCUGGAAAGGCGCGCGAUACAGGGUGACAGCCCCGUACACAAAAAUGCACAUAUUGUGAGCUCGAUGAGUAGGGCGGGACACGUGGUAUCCUGUCUGAAUAUGGGGGGACCAUCCUCCAAGGCUAAAUACUCCUGACUGACCGAUAGUGAACCAGUACCGUGAGGGAAAGGCGAAAAGAACCCCGGCGAGGGGAGUGAAAAAGAACCUGAAACCGUGUACGUACAAGCAGUGGGAGCACGCUUAGGCGUGUGACUGCGUACCUUUUGUAUAAUGGGUCAGCGACUUAUAUUCUGUAGCAAGGUUAACCGAAUAGGGGAGCCGAAGGGAAACCGAGUCUUAACUGGGCGUUAAGUUGCAGGGUAUAGACCCGAAACCCGGUGAUCUAGCCAUGGGCAGGUUGAAGGUUGGGUAACACUAACUGGAGGACCGAACCGACUAAUGUUGAAAAAUUAGCGGAUGACUUGUGGCUGGGGGUGAAAGGCCAAUCAAACCGGGAGAUAGCUGGUUCUCCCCGAAAGCUAUUUAGGUAGCGCCUCGUGAAUUCAUCUCCGGGGGUAGAGCACUGUUUCGGCAAGGGGGUCAUCCCGACUUACCAACCCGAUGCAAACUGCGAAUACCGGAGAAUGUUAUCACGGGAGACACACGGCGGGUGCUAACGUCCGUCGUGAAGAGGGAAACAACCCAGACCGCCAGCUAAGGUCCCAAAGUCAUGGUUAAGUGGGAAACGAUGUGGGAAGGCCCAGACAGCCAGGAUGUUGGCUUAGAAGCAGCCAUCAUUUAAAGAAAGCGUAAUAGCUCACUGGUCGAGUCGGCCUGCGCGGAAGAUGUAACGGGGCUAAACCAUGCACCGAAGCUGCGGCAGCGACGCUUAUGCGUUGUUGGGUAGGGGAGCGUUCUGUAAGCCUGUGAAGGUGUGCUGUGAGGUAUGCUGGAGGUAUCAGAAGUGCGAAUGCUGACAUAAGUAACGAUAAAGCGGGUGAAAAGCCCGCUCGCCGGAAGACCAAGGGUUCCUGUCCAACGUUAAUCGGGGCAGGGUGAGUCGACCCCUAAGGCGAGGCCGAAAGGCGUAGUCGAUGGGAAACAGGUUAAUAUUCCUGUACUUGGUGUUACUGCGAAGGGGGGACGGAGAAGGCUAUGUUGGCCGGGCGACGGUUGUCCCGGUUUAAGCGUGUAGGCUGGUUUUCCAGGCAAAUCCGGAAAAUCAAGGCUGAGGCGUGAUGACGAGGCACUACGGUGCUGAAGCAACAAAUGCCCUGCUUCCAGGAAAAGCCUCUAAGCAUCAGGUAACAUCAAAUCGUACCCCAAACCGACACAGGUGGUCAGGUAGAGAAUACCAAGGCGCUUGAGAGAACUCGGGUGAAGGAACUAGGCAAAAUGGUGCCGUAACUUCGGGAGAAGGCACGCUGAUAUGUAGGUGAAGUCCCUUGCGGAUGGAGCUGAAAUCAGUCGAAGAUACCAGCUGGCUGCAACUGUUUAUUAAAAACACAGCACUGUGCAAACACGAAAGUGGACGUAUACGGUGUGACGCCUGCCCGGUGCCGGAAGGUUAAUUGAUGGGGUUAGCGCAAGCGAAGCUCUUGAUCGAAGCCCCGGUAAACGGCGGCCGUAACUAUAACGGUCCUAAGGUAGCGAAAUUCCUUGUCGGGUAAGUUCCGACCUGCACGAAUGGCGUAAUGAUGGCCAGGCUGUCUCCACCCGAGACUCAGUGAAAUUGAACUCGCUGUGAAGAUGCAGUGUACCCGCGGCAAGACGGAAAGACCCCGUGAACCUUUACUAUAGCUUGACACUGAACAUUGAGCCUUGAUGUGUAGGAUAGGUGGGAGGCUUAGAAGUGUGGACGCCAGUCUGCAUGGAGCCGACCUUGAAAUACCACCCUUUAAUGUUUGAUGUUCUAACGUUGACCCGUAAUCCGGGUUGCGGACAGUGUCUGGUGGGUAGUUUGACUGGGGCGGUCUCCUCCUAAAGAGUAACGGAGGAGCACGAAGGUUGGCUAAUCCUGGUCGGACAUCAGGAGGUUAGUGCAAUGGCAUAAGCCAGCUUGACUGCGAGCGUGACGGCGCGAGCAGGUGCGAAAGCAGGUCAUAGUGAUCCGGUGGUUCUGAAUGGAAGGGCCAUCGCUCAACGGAUAAAAGGUACUCCGGGGAUAACAGGCUGAUACCGCCCAAGAGUUCAUAUCGACGGCGGUGUUUGGCACCUCGAUGUCGGCUCAUCACAUCCUGGGGCUGAAGUAGGUCCCAAGGGUAUGGCUGUUCGCCAUUUAAAGUGGUACGCGAGCUGGGUUUAGAACGUCGUGAGACAGUUCGGUCCCUAUCUGCCGUGGGCGCUGGAGAACUGAGGGGGGCUGCUCCUAGUACGAGAGGACCGGAGUGGACGCAUCACUGGUGUUCGGGUUGUCAUGCCAAUGGCACUGCCCGGUAGCUAAAUGCGGAAGAGAUAAGUGCUGAAAGCAUCUAAGCACGAAACUUGCCCCGAGAUGAGUUCUCCCUGACCCUUUAAGGGUCCUGAAGGAACGUUGAAGACGACGACGUUGAUAGGCCGGGUGUGUAAGCGCAGCGAUGCGUUGAGCUAACCGGUACUAAUGAACCGUGAGGCUUAACCUU